rnacentral:rRNA from 1 species
GCAAGCUGCGGGCGAGGGGCGGGGGGGAUAGGGAGGGGGCGUGGGGUGUCCGGAAUUAUGGGGCGUAAAGGGCUCGUAGGCGGUGUGGCGCGUCGGGAGUGAAAUCCACUGGCUUAACUGGUGGCUUGCUUUCGAUACGGGUAGACUGGAGGUAUGCAGGGGAGAACGGAAUUCCUGGUGUAGCGGUGAAAUGCGCAGAUAUCAGGAGGAACACCGGUGGCGAAGGUGGUUCUCUGGGCAUGUCCUGACGCUGAGGAGCGAAAGUGUGGGGAGCGAACAGGAUUAGAUACCCCAGUAGUC